UGUGCCCUCCUUCUAUGGGCAUUGAUAUUUUAUAAUAUUUGUUGACGAUAACAAGUAUGUUUGGUUCUACCCUCUUCUUAAUAAGUCUGAUGUUUUUUUCAUUUUUUCUUCAUUUUCAAUCUCUUGUGGAAUGCCAAUUUGGUUGCAAAAUAAAAAUUGCUCAAAGUAAUUAGGGGCUGAGUUUCGCUCCCUCUCUCGAUUUUUCAAUAAAAUUGGCAUUCUUCAUCGUCUCUCUUGCCCCGAUACCAAUGAGCAGCAAAGGGCUGUUGAGCAUCGCCACCAUCACAUAGUUGAGACGAGACUCUCCCUUCUGGCUCAUGCGUCUAUUCCCCAACCAUAUUGGACCCAUGCCUUUGAAACUGCAGUCUACCCAAUCAAUAGAAUGCGCUCUUCGGUCUCCAAUGGUCUCUCCCCUUAUUAACUUGUGUUUCAUCGGCCUCCUGACUACACUUUUCUACUUGUGUUUGGAUGUGUUUGUUUCCCCUAUUUGCGUCUCCACGACCAUCACAAAAUUGAAUUUCGGUCCGCCCCUUGUGUUUUCUUAGGAUGCAGUCCCUCACAUCAUGGUUACUUAGUGCCUCGACCUCCGCUCAAACCGCACCUACAUUGCAUGUCAUUUGCGUUUCUCUGAGAUGUCUUUUCCCUUCUUAUCACACUCCCCAUCUCCAUCUCCUUCCUCCCCCAUUCCUUCCCCUUGGCUUUUGGUUCCCACAAGGCACGCCCCUCCUCCUGUAUUUCCCUUACCGACUGCCCCAACUCCACCAUCGGUCCCUUCACCUUCCUCCCCCCAUCACCUAUAUCUCCCAUUCCCCUAGCUUCUCCUCUUCACUCCGCUGCUGGAUCCACUCCCACUCCCCCCAUCGAUGGCUGAAGAACGCGUAUGCAGAAAAUAAAUUUCUUUGUGCCGUUAAUAUUUCAAAAAAUAAAGGGGAUUUGGGUUUUAGAAAUCCAGAAUCGAAGUUCUUGCUAGUGAUUUGGGCGACAUUGGAAUAAUCCAUCUCUACUUCUUGAGAUAAUCUGUACAUGUACUCUCUCAUUCUGGAUCGGACGGUAUCAUUGAGUCGGAUUCUAGUAUGUUUUCACUGAACGAUCAGCAAAAGAGGCUGAAGAAGGCAUGGAGGACGAGAUGGUUGCUAAGGAAGCUAAGUAGUGGAAUGGGCUAAGCAAGCGCAUGGUAGAGUGAAUGUGUUUGUGACUCCUGAUGUUUCAGGUGUUGAUGAAAGAUUCAAGUGAUAGUAAUAGUUUCUACUUACAACUUUGUUUUGGAAUUCACCCAAAAAAUAAAUUUGCUUAAAAAACAAGAAAAUUGUGCUGCCAUAAUAUUUUGCUUUCUGUUUUCUAUCAUAGAAUAUUAUUGGAAAUACAAUAUAGUGAAUGAAGAAUUUCCAGUCGAAUUGUGGUUUAGGUUUUGAUUUUUUAUUGCCCUUCCCACCAUUUCAAUCUCUAUUCUUAGUUACUUCAUAUAUAUGUUUCAUGAAUGAACUGCGUUAGGCUUUAAUGUUUUAUGGUGAAUGGAGUGCAAGUAAAAUUUAAUAUGAUGAAUGAAGAAUUCUUGUAUAAUUGUGUUGUAUCUCUUAAUAUUUUGUUCUGUCUUUUUUUUUUUAGCCAUUUGGUACAUAUCUCUCAUUUAUGAGCUUUGAAGGGUUGACACUAUUAUAGCUUUACAACUAGAUAGUAUAAGUGCUCUUAACGCACAUCAUCUUGUUACAUGCUAUUUGUACUACAGUAGAAUGGCUUCUUAUUUUUCUUUCCCUUCCUCCCUGUUGUGAAUUCUGUGUAGUUCUUAUAGGUUAAAGAAAAGACAUCAUUUGACCAUGAUAUAGGUGCAGCAUGAUUUCCAAUUUGGUGGUGAUUUGGUCGGUGGAGUUUAUAUGGUUUGGCAUGUAUUUGUCGUUGUUAGUCCUAAUGCCUCUUUUUGACUUGAAGAGUAAGGAGCUACAUUUUGCAUUAUAAUGGGUGUAUUUUGUGGUUUAUAGAACUCCUGAAAUCUUAUGCAGCAAAGAUAAAGAAUUGACAAUGCAUGACAUCAAUGGUGAAGCCAUUCAACCUACACUCCCAAGAACAGGACAUGUUAAUGAAGGAACCUCUGUGGUGUAUGUGAUGCACAGGUGAUCUGGUGGAGCUAGGGAAGUUAAACAACCAACAAUAUAAUCUGUCAGCUGAUAAGGGUAGUUUGGUAAUUUGAUAAUGUGACAGAUGUAUCUGGACAUAGUGGAUGGUAUUUGGAAGUAUAUUACAAUCGUACAAAGGCUUUGGCAGUGUUUAGAAGCGGCAAGUGAAGACCCCAUACAGUUAAAGUUUCAAAAUGACAUGUUCAUGCAGUGGCUGUGUAUUCGGAUCUAAUUUUGGAAGGCUUAAUGGCAUAUCUGGGCGGUGAAUUCUACAUGAAAAAUGAAUCUCAUUGAGUCGUGAUUCCAAUGCAAGUUGAAUUGCAUCAUUUUGAUGUUGGAUAAAGAAGUUAUGGCAAUUCUCGUACAAUCACAUUGAAAUAGAGUGAAUUGGGAGAGCCCCUAAGAAUUUUUAAAGAAAGAUAUUAUUAUUAAAUUAGAUUUGUUGUCGCUUGCUUUUUAGUAUCUGAAUCUUUAGCUCAAAAAGGAAGUGCAAUUGGGAUUCCCCAAGAGAUAAUGGUUCGAAUCCAUUAAGACUUAUUGAAUGGAUUUCAUGUCUCAUUUUAUGAAAUCUUAUGGAAUGAGUGCAAAAAUGAUUAUUGUAAAUAA